rnacentral:rRNA from 1 species
AGGCUUCGGCCUUAGUGGCGCACGGGUGCGUAACGCGUGGGAAUCUGCCCUUAGGUUCGGAAUAACAGCUGGAAACGGCUGCUAAUACCGGAUGAUAUCGCGAGAUCAAAGAUUUAUCGCCUGAGGAUGAGCCCGCGUUGGAUUAGGUAGUUGGUGGGGUAAAGGCCUACCAAGCCGACGAUCCAUAGCUGGUCUGAGAGGAUGAUCAGCCACACUGGGACUGAGACACGGCCCAGACUCCUACGGGAGGCAGCAGUGGGGAAUAUUGGACAAUGGGCGAAAGCCUGAUCCAGCAAUGCCGCGUGAGUGAUGAAGGCCCUAGGGUUGUAAAGCUCUUUUACCCGGGAAGAUAAUGACUGUACCGGGAGAAUAAGCCCCGGCUAACUCCGUGCCAGCAGCCGCGGUAAUACGGAGGGGGCUAGCGUUGUUCGGAAUUACUGGGCGUAAAGCGCACGUAGGCGGCUUUGUAAGUCAGAGGUGAAAGCCUGGAGCUCAACUCCAGAACUGCCUUUGAGACUGCAUCGCUUGAAUCCAGGAGAGGUCAGUGGAAUUCCGAGUGUAGAGGUGAAAUUCGUAGAUAUUCGGAAGAACACCAGUGGCGAAGGCGGCUGACUGGACUGGUAUUGACGCUGAGGUGC